UAUAAAUAACUACACAGUAAAACUGCGAAUGGCUCAUUAAAACAGUUAUAGUUUAUUUGAUACAAAAAAUGGAUAACUGUAGAAAAACUAGAGCUAAUACAUGCCGUAGCCGCAAGGUUGUAUUUAUUAGAUAUACCCAGUAGGUGAAUCAUAAUAACUAUGCAAAUCGUAACUAUGUUACGGUAAAUCAUUCAAGUUUCUGCCCUAUCAGCUUUCGAUGGUAGUGUAUUGGACUACCAUGGCUUUCACGGGUAACGGAGAAUUAGGGUUCGAUUCCGGAGAAGGAGCCUGAGAAACGGCUACUACAUCUAAGGAAGGCAGCAGGCGCGUAAAUUGCCCAAUCCUGACUCAGGGAGGUAGUGACAAGAUAUAACGACGCGAUUUUAAAUCGUGAUUGUAGUGAGGGUAUUCCAAACCGAACUUCGAGUACGAUUGGAGGGCAAGUCUGGUGCCAGCAGCCGCGGUAAUUCCAGCUCCAAUAGCGUAUAUUAAAGUUGUUGCAGUUAAAAAGCUCGUAGUUGGAUUUCAGGGUGGAGGUGAGGCAACUCACCAAAACCUAUCAGUCCCGAACGGACUGUUACUGUGAGAAAAUUAGAGUGUUUCAAGCAGGCUAUUGCAGGAAUACAUUAGCAUGGAAUAACGAGUGUGUCUAGAAUCUUGGUUAAUUCUAGAUUACGAUU
rnacentral:rRNA from 1 species